AGCGAACGCUGGCGGCAGGCCUAACACAUGCAAGUCGAACGAUGAACUUGGAGCUUGCUCUGGGGGAUUAGUGGCGAACGGGUGAGUAACACGUGAGUAACCUGCCCUGGACUCUGGGAUAACUUCGAGAAAUCGGAGCUAAUACCGGAUAGGACCUUGCACCGCAUGGUGUGGGGUGGAAAGUUUUUCGGUUUGGGAUGGACUCGCGGCCUAUCAGCUUGUUGGUGAGGUAAUGGCUCACCAAGGCGUCGACGGGUCGCCGGCCUGAGAGGGUGACAGGCCACACUGGGACUGAGACACGGCCCAGACUCCUACGGGAGGCAGCAGUGGGGAAUAUUGCACAAUGGGCGCAAGCCUGAUGCGGCAACGCCGCGUGCGGGAUGACGGCCUUCGGGUUGUAAACCGCUUUUAGUAGGGAAGAAGCCUUCGGGUGACGGUACCUGCAGAAAAAGGACCGGCUAACUACGUGCCAGCCGCCGCGGUAACAC
rnacentral:rRNA from 1 species